rnacentral:rRNA from 1 species
AUUGAACGCUGGCGGAAUGCUUUACACAUGCAAGUCGAACGGCAGCAUAGGUGCUUGCACCUGAUGGCGAGUGGCGAACGGGUGAGUAAUACAUCGGAACGUGCCCAGUCGUGGGGGAUAACGUAGCGAAAGUUACGCUAAUACCGCAUACGAUCUACGGAUGAAAGCGGGGGGCCGUAAGGCCUCGCGCGAUUGGAGCGGCCGAUGUCAGAUUAGGUAGUUGAUGGGGUAAAGGCCCACCAAGCCAACGAUCUGUAGCUGGUCUGAGAGGACGACCAGCCACACUGGGACUGAGACACGGCCCAGACUCCUACGGGAGGCAGCAGUGGGGAAUUUUGGACAAUGGGCGCAAGCCUGAUCCAGCCAUUCCGCGUGCAGGAUGAAGGCCUUCGGGUUGUAAACUGCUUUUGUACGGAACGAAAAGCUCUGGGUUAAUACCCCGGGGUCAUGACGGUACCGUAAGAAUAAGCACCGGCUAACUACGUGCCAGCAGCCGCAGUAA